UAACAAGAUCAACGGUCUCCCCUCCUCCCAUCCCAUCAAUCAUCACCAGAUCUUCAAUAAAGGUAAGUGUCAUGUAACUGUGCAUGUCUUCAGUUUGUGUGUAUUAAAAUUAAUAUUUCAUGUGGUAAAUUUUUUUUUUUUUUCAAUACUUUGGGGUGUCUUGCACGGAUUAAUUUGAUUUCCAUUAUUUCUUAUGGGGAAAAUUAACUUGACUAACGAUUAUUUUGAUUAACGAUGAGCUCUCAGGAACGGAUUAAUAUCGCUGGUUGAGGGUCCACUGUAUAUAUUUAUGACUCCAGUGGGUUUAAUGCUUUCCCCUGAAUUGUUCCAUCUUGCUGUAAGAGUCAAGUUUGCUCUUAGCAGAUGGAGGAUCGAGCCUCCACUGGUCCUUGUGGUGUGCUGUUCCUUGUUGACCGAGCAGCGAGUCAGGACCAGCAGCACACACGAGCACCAGGGUAGGAGCCUACACUCCAAAAUUAUAUUUUUAAAAGCAAACAAGGGUGUACAAGUACAUCAAAAACUGUUUUAUAAAGGGUUUAUUAUAUGCAGUUUUGAUGAUGAUUUUCCCUUAUUGAAUGCUUGUAGUGAAUUUACUUAAUAUUAAAACUAAAUUCCUAUCAUGUAUUUUUAUUAAUUUCAUUUUUGUUUUAUUCAUUGAGCUAUAUGAUGCAGUAUAUCCUGUAUUAAUAGAUUAAUUUUUUCUCAUGUCAGUAAAUGUUGUGUAUAGUUUCUUGCAUCCCUGUUUAUUAGUCUUGAUGGUAGUUAUCACAUGUGCUUUUUCUGCUUUAUGACCCUAAAGGGUUUAGUGCAUUUUCAUAUAUAGAAUAAAUACAAUUGAUUGCUUUCUUCCAAGAAGGGUAAUAGUUAGCCUUUUCUCUGGGUGCCUUGCAGGCAGGAGGUGAAGAUGGUGUAUGGGCCCUACUACAAUAAGUCUUACAGGUUUUCCCAGCAACAGCAGAAUUAACUUGGAGUAAGGGGGUUGUUAAUUAAGGAAUGCCUAAGGUGAGGCAGACAUAGUGCAAUGUGUCCACAGUUUAACCAUCACAACUGCACAAGUCCAGACAUCAAUCCUACAUCUGUGAAAUAUACUUAAUUUGGUUUUCAUAACUUGCAGAAUAUUUAUUAUUCUUCAUAAGGUAUAUUUGCAGCAGUAAAUUAUUAUUAUUAUUAUAAUCAAGGGGGAAGCGCUAAACCCGGAGGAUUAUACAGCGCCUGGGGGGGGGGAUGUGGAAGGCAUUCAGGCUUAAUUCGGGGAACUGGAGCACAGAUCCAAUUCCCUAAAUCAAGAGCCCCUCACCAACAUCAAGGAACCUUCCUUGAGGGGAUUUGCAGCAGUAAAAAUUAUAGACUUGAAGGGAAAAAUGUGACAAUUUAUAAUAUACAUUACUGGAUUUAAAAUUCUCUUGCCAUUGCAUUAACUUAAGGAUUAUGGUGAUCUGGUGAACAUUUGCUUGUUUAUUUACCUGAAUGUGUGUAUAGUUAAUGAAUGACCAAGUUUGAUAGGAUGCACGAUGUAUGGAUGGACAGUAAAGGUGGUAGAUUUAUUUCUAUGGUUGUCAUAUUUGAAAGUUUCAUUCCACAAAUUUUGGGUGUUUUAGAGUCAUGCUUGUUAGUGUGAUGCAUUGUAGGAGUGAAGAAGUGAUAUAAAGCCACAAAUGUUU